ACUGGGCGCGGUGGCACGUGCCUAUAGUCCCAUCCACUCGGGAGGCUGAGGCCGGAGGAUCUUUCGAGUCCAGGAAUUCUGGGCGGGUGUUGCACUAAGUUCAGCAUCAGUAUGGUGACCUCCUGGGAGCGGGUGUCCACCAGGUUGCCUAAGGAGGGGUGAACUGGCCCAGGUCGGAAACGGAGCAGGUCAAAACUCCCGUGAUGAUCAGCAGUGGGAUCGUGCCUGUGAAUAGCCACUGCACUCCAGCCUGGGCAGCAUAGGGAGACCCUGUCUCUU
ensembl:misc_RNA Metazoa_SRP Metazoan signal recognition particle RNA